rnacentral:rRNA from 1 species
CCUACGGGAGGCAGCAGUGGGGAAUAUUGGACAAUGGGGGGAACCCUGAUCCAGCCAUGCCGCGUGUGUGAAGAAGGCCCUCGGGUUGUAAAGCACUUUCAGUGAGGAAGAACGCCUGGUGGUUAAUACCCAUCAGGAAAGACAUCACUCACAGAAGAAGCACCGGCUAACUCCGUGCCAGCAGCCGCGGUAAUACGGAGGGUGCGAGCGUUAAUCGGAAUUACUGGGCGUAAAGCGCGCGUAGGUGGCUUGAUAAGCCGGUUGUGAAAGCCCCGGGCUCAACCUGGGAACGGCAUCCGGAACUGUCAAGCUAGAGUGCAGGAGAGGAAGGUAGAAUUCCCGGUGUAGCGGUGAAAUGCGUAGAGAUCGGGAGGAAUACCAGUGGCGAAGGCGGCCUUCUGGACUGACACUGACACUGAGGUGCGAAAGCGUGGGUAGAAAACAGGAUUAGAUACCCGAGUAGUC